rnacentral:rRNA from 1 species
CAGCGGCAGACGGGUGAGUAACACGUGGGAACGUACCCUUUGGUUCGGAAUAACGCUGGGAAACUAGCGCUAAUACCGGAUACGCCCUUUUGGGGAAAGGCUUGCUGCCGAAGGAUCGGCCCGCGUCUGAUUAGCUAGUUGGUGGGGUAAUGGCCUACCAAGGCGACGAUCAGUAGCUGGUCUGAGAGGAUGAUCAGCCACACUGGGACUGAGACACGGCCCAGACUCCUACGGGAGGCAGCAGUGGGGAAUAUUGGACAAUGGGCGCAAGCCUGAUCCAGCCAUGCCGCGUGAGUGAUGAAGGCCUUAGGGUUGUAAAGCUCUUUUGUCCGGGACGAUAAUGACGGUACCGGAAGAAUAAGCCCCGGCUAACUUCGUGCCAGCAGCCGCGGUAAUACGGAAGGCGGGCUAGCGUUCCUCGGAAUCCUCUGGGCGUAAAGGGCGCGUAGGGGGCCUUUCAGGUCGGGGGGUGAAGGUCUGUAGUUAAACCCAAAGGAACUGCCCUUCGAUACGGUUUGCCUUGAGUUUGUUUAAGUUUGAUUCUACCUGCCAGUUUACCCGGGAAAUUCGGUAGAUAUUCGUAAAGACCCCCAGUGGCGAAGGGGGGCCCCCCUGGACCCAACACUUGACGCUGAGGCGCGAAAGCGUGGGGGAGCAAACAGAAUUUAGAUACCCUGCGUAGCCCAUGCGGUAACGAUGAAUGCUAGCUGUAGUGGGGCUUCCCCCUCAGUGGCGCCGCUACCGCUUUAAGCAUACUUCCUGGGGACACGCGCGGUAGAUUAAACCUCAAAGAAUUGAGGGGGGCCCGUCACAAGCGCUGAUCCAUGGGUGAGAUUCGGACUAUCCGCCAGACCUGAAUGUCCCUUGACAUUGCCGUGUCACUCCGGAGGAGAUCGAGGUAUCCCUUUGCGGCGCACGCGAAUACGGCGCUGCAUGGCUUGUAGUCAGCUCGGUGCUGUAUGCAUCUGGUAUAGUACUCGCAGUCGAGCGCAACCAGCUCUUAAGUCGCUAUGCCUUCAGUUAGCUCACUCUGAGGACUGCUAGUCAUAGCCGCAGAUACGUGUAUCAGUCAGUCUCAUGGCAUCGGACAUGUUCUAAAUACC